rnacentral:rRNA from 1 species
GCAGUGGGGAAUAUUGCACAAUGGGCGAAAGCCUGAUGCAGCAACGCCGCGUGAGGGAUGACGGCCUUCGGGUUGUAAACCUCUUUUAGUAGGGAAGAAGCGAAAGUGACGGUACCUGCAGAAAAAGCACCGGCUAACUACGUGCCAGCAGCCGCGGUAAUACGUAGGGUGCAAGCGUUGUCCGGAAUUAUUGGGCGUAAAGAGCUCGUAGGCGGCUUGUCGCGUCUGCUGUGAAAACCCGGAGCUCAACUCCGGGCCUGCAGUGGGUACGGGCAGGCUAGAGUGCGGUAGGGGAGAUUGGAAUUCCUGGUGUAGCGGUGGAAUGCGCAGAUAUCAGGAGGAACACCGAUGGCGAAGGCAGAUCUCUGGGCCGCUACUGACGCUGAGGAGCGAAAGCAUGGGGAGCGAACAGGAUUAGAUACCCUGGUAGUCCAUGCCGUAAACGUUGGGAACUAGAUGUAGGGCCUGUUCCACGGGUUCUGUGUCGUAGCUAACGCAUUAAGUUCCCCGCCUGGGGAGUACGGCCGCAAGGCUAAAACUCAAAGGAAUUGACGGGGGCCCGCACAAGCGGCGGAGCAUGCGGAUUAAUUCGAUGCAACGCGAAGAACCUUACCUGGGUUUGACAUAUACCGGAAACAUCUGGAGACAGGUGCCCCGCAAGGUCGGUAUACAGGUGGUGCAUGGCUGUCGUCAGCUCGUGUCGUGAGAUGUUGGGUUAAGUCCCGCAACGAGCGCAACCCUCGUUCUAUGUUGCCAGCGGUUCGGCCGGGAACUCAUAGAAGACUGCCGGGGUCAACUCGGAGGAAGGUGGGGAUGACGUCAAGUCAUCAUGCCCCUUAUGUCCAGGGCUUCACGCAUGCUACAAUGGCUGGUACAAAGAGCUGCGAACCUGCAAGGGUGAGCGAAUCUCAAAAAGCCGGUCUCAGUUCGGAUUGGGGUCUGCAACUCGACCCCAUGAAGUCGGAGUCGCUAGUAAUCGCAGAUCAGCAACGCUGCGGUGAAUACGUUCCCGGGCCUUGUACACACCGCCCGUCAAGUCAUGAAAGUCGGUAACACCCGAAGCCGGUGGCCUAACCCUUGUGGAGGGAGCCGUCGAAGGUGGGACCGGUAAUUAGGACUAAGUCGUAACAAGGUAGCCGUACCGGAAGGUGCGGCUG